rnacentral:rRNA from 1 species
UGAGGAAUCUUGCGCAAUGGGGGAAACCCUGACGCAGCAACGCCGCGUGAGUGAAGAAGGCCUUCGGGUUGUAAAGCUCUGUCGGGUGGGAAGAAAUGCAUGGAGGUUAAUACCCUUUAUGCUUGACGGUACCACCAGAGGAAGCACCGGCUAACUCCGUGCCAGCAGCCGCGGUAAUACGGGGGGUGCGAGCGUUGUUCGGAAUCAUUGGGCGUAAAGGGCGUGUAGGCGGCGUGGUAAGUCAGAUGUGAAAGCCCUGGGCUUAACCCAGGAAGUGCAUUUGAAACUGCCAUGCUAGAGUACGGGAGAGGGAAGUGGAAUUCCUGGUGUAGAGGUGAUAUUCGUAGAUAUCAGGAGGAACACCGGUGGCGAAGGCGACUUCCUGGCCCGAUACUGACGCUGAGACGCGAGAGCGUGGGGAGCAAACA